CACAUGCAAGUCGAACGAAACUACGGGUUAGUGGCGGACGGGUGAGUAACGCGUGGGAAUCUGCCCUCUUGAGGGGGAUAACGGCUGGAAACGGGCGCUAAUACCCCAUAUGCCGAGAGGUGAAAUGAAUUUCGCCUGAGGAUGAGCCCGCGUCUGAUUAGCUAGUUGGUGGGGUAAGAGCCUACCAAGGCUACGAUCAGUAGCUGGUCUGAGAGGAUGAUCAUCCACCCUGGGACUGAGACACGGCCCACACUCCUACCGGAGGCAGCAGUGGGGAAUUUUCCCCAAUGUCGAAAGCCUGACGGAGCAACGCCGCGUGAGGGAUGAAGGCCUCUGGGCUGUAAACCUCUUUUCUCAAGGAAGAAGAUCUGACGGUACUUGAGGAAUAAGCCACGGCUAAUUCCNUGCCAGCC
rnacentral:rRNA from 1 species